UCCCUGAUGUUAGCGGCGGACGGGUGAGUAACACGUGGGUAACCUGCCUGUAAGACUGGGAUAACUCCGGGAAACCGGGGCUAAUACCGGAUGGUUGUUUGAACCGCAUGGUUCAAACAUAAAAGGUGGCUUCGGCUACCACUUACAGAUGGACCCGCGGCGCAUUAGCUAGUUGGUGAGGUAACGGCUCACCAAGGCAACGAUGCGUAGCCGACCUGAGAGGGUGAUCGGCCACACUGGGACUGAGACACGGCCCAGACUCCUACGGGAGGCAGCAGUAGGGAAUCUUCCGCAAUGGACGAAAGUCUGACGGAGCAACGCCGCGUGAGUGAUGAAGGUUUUCGGAUCGUAAAGCUCUGUUGUUAGGGAAGAACAAGUACCGUUCGAAUAGGGCGGUACCUUGACGGUACCUAACCAGAAAGCCACGGCUAACUACGUGCCAGCAGCCGCGGUAAUACGUAGGUGGCAAGCGUUGUCCGGAAUUAUUGGGCGUAAAGGGCUCGCAGGCGGUUUCUUAAGUCUGAUGUGAAAGCCCCCGGCUCAACCGGGGAGGGUCAUUGGAAACUGGGGAACUUGAGUGCAGAAGAGGAGAGUGGAAUUCCACGUGUAGCGGUGAAAUGCGUAGAGAUGUGGAGGAACACCAGUGGCGAAGGCGACUCUCUGGUCUGUAACUGACGCUGAGGAGCGAAAGCGUGGGGAGCGAACAGGAUUAGAUACCCUGGUAGUCCACGCCGUAAACGAUGAGUGCUAAGUGUUAGGGGGUUUCCGCCCCUUAGUGCUGCAGCUAACGCAUUAAGCACU
rnacentral:rRNA from 1 species